rnacentral:rRNA from 1 species
UACGAGGGGGGCGAGCGUUGUUCGGAAUUAUUGGGCGUAAAGGGCUCGUAGGCGGUCCAUCGCGUCGGGAGUGAAAAGCUGGGGCUUAACCCCAGUCCUGCUUCCGAUACGGGUGGACUAGAGGUAGGUAGGGGAGAUCGGAAUUCCUGGUGUAGCGGUGAAAUGCGCAGAUAUCUGGAGGAACACUGGUGGCGAAGGCGGCAUCCUGGACCAACACUGACGCUGAGGAGCGAAAGCCAGGGGAGCAAACGGG